GCAGAAGUGAAAGCUGUAGGUGAGAAAGCAGAAGCCUUCAUCACUUGUUACUUGAAGGCCUUGCCUUAGGACCAUCCGUAUCUGUUCAGUUCCGAGUGGAGCACACAGCCCUGUUGUUUUGGUUUGGGGUUUUUGACUGUUUUCUUACUGUCGCCAGGCUGUUAAGCCGUGCUGUCACCAACUCCGCAUCACCACAACGCCUCCGAUCUCUGCACUAAACUCCCGUGGGACACCAGGCCAACAAGUAGGCCAAACCCAGUAAAACUAAAUCAUCCACUGUCACCCUACGGAUUUCAAGGACAAAGUUUGCUUCCAUUUGUGCCCAGGAACCUGCAGUGACCUUUUAGAGGGAGAAAGGAAAGGUGGCACUUGGCCCAGAGCAAUCUCCUUUUAAGCUGCAUUCAAACAUCAAGACGAUGUAUAGAUACCACCGACAAAUCUAAAUACUCCUGAAACUCUGGACUGGCACGCUGAUCUCGUUUCCCAAACCGAUCUCAGAAGGCACACUGCUAAGAAAGCCCUGCACCCACCCAGCCUUGCCCUCCGCUCCCAGCUCAUGCUCUCCUCAGUCUGGGUCCAUUUUGAGAAGCAGCCGGCUCCAAGCAGCCCCCCUGCUUGGACUUCUCAAGCAACCGACGCUGUAGCAGCAACGCCGCAAGCCCUAAAGCCAUCCGAUCUCAAAAGGGAAGCGGAUUUAAUUCCAAAGCCAAACCGAUGACAUUCAUCUGCACGCUCUCGAACUCACACGUACCUGGAUUCAUGUGUCCGAGAAGCAGCACCCGAGCGCCAAGAUCACAGCGCCGCGGUCGGUCCAGGCCCGCUUGCGACGACGCUCGGGACGAGGAGCAGCAGCUACUGAGUCGUUUUGACUUCGGACCCUUCUCACAUUGGCAAUCGUGUGCCGACUGCGGACAGACCUCUUUGUAUCCUUCAGGACUUUGAAGGCCCGCUAAUCUUCAGCCUUCAGCACAUACCAUUCUCACAGCCCGUCUGUUGCUGUUUGUUCCCCCACACCCAGACAUUCCCACUCAUACCUAUCUUAACUACUACGAUUCUGCAACAUUUCGGUGACUACCAGUGGAACUGGAGAAACGACAACCCCCUGUGGAGCGAAGCACAGAAAGGGUUCGCCCACAGCAGAACUGUACGGUACUAUAAGGCAAGAACUGAACUGAUGGCGGCCAUGGCUCAUCAGCUGGUGGGUUUUGAUACUGGCUUCGCUAACGGCCUUUAAAUACGAUCGUAUGUGUGCUGUGUUCCCCUUCUGAAGGGAUUACUCGACGUCGAAACCAAACAAAACGCAGAACCCUCCUCUUCCUUACUCCCCACUUAACAUUUGUUAAAAACAAAGGAAGCGGACGUUAUGCAAACAGCCUGUUGGGUUUUCUCAUGCAACUGAUGAAAACAACAUCAAAAUGAAACGACGCUGCCUGGAAAUCACAGUGCCCCCUCCCACCCCUCCUGCAUUUCCAUCUUCUGGAGCUGUCUGAACAGUUGGAGCGCUGAACCUGCUGUGAACUGAGAAGCUGCAAGAGAGGGGGCAUAACCAACGUAACGCGUUUAUAAAAGACAAAGUGCAGAUCGUUAUCCAUUUGCUUCCAGUCUGGUAGGAUUGCAUUCUAAAGGGAACGUGGUUAAUUCAACGGUUGGAAAGGUAGAACUUAUUUUCUUCAGAUGGCUGCAACGUUUGAAGGCCUUUUGCUGUCCUCAGGAAACCGCAGGUUACUUCAGCAGCCUAAAAUAAAUAUGUGACCAGAUGAACAAAUUC